rnacentral:lncRNA from 1 species
CUAAAGCUAUACACAGGACACUGUCUGCAAAACCUCUAAGAAAACAUGAUCAUAAUAUAUAAGUCGGGACAGGGUCCCCGACAUCUUCAUAAAACAAAGUAACAUAUAUAGAACAUGACUAGGCAAUACUCUAGGAAGGUGUGGAGCUCACCAACCAAAAGCUAAUAUAUGGAGGCAGCCUACAGUGGAUGGUCCUUACCUCGCCUAUCUAUACAUGCGUGUCAUGAAACACAGCGCCCCAGAAAAAGGGACGUUAGUACGAAGAAUGUACCGAGUAUGUAAGGCAGAAAUGAAACAUAGUAAUAAUAAGAUACUAUCUCGGGGAGGGAUAAGAGUCAACUUAUAACUUCUGACUUGCCGCUGAAGGCCGUACCAUGUAGAAUAAAACCCAUUCGUAUAUAUAAAUAAAGCUACAAUAUAGUAGUUUUGAUUAUAUCAUUCUCGUGGCGUUAACUGCGCAACAGAUCAGUGGUAACUGCCCUACCGGCCGUAGCACGAUGGUAAAUGCAUAACUGCCCGACCGACCGUAGCUCGAUGGUAAACGUGUAACUGCCCAACCGACCAUGGCUCGGUGGUAAAUAAAUAUGCAUGACUGCCCAACCAUUGAUAAAUAAUAAUACAUAACUGUCCAACCGGUGAUAACUGCCCGACUAGUGAAAACAUGCCACUAAUGGAAGUAACAAAUAUGUAUUCAAAUCCUUAUUUUCAAUUAACCUCUUGGAGUAACACAAUUAUAACUCACUUGCUCUUUACUAUACAUAUACACUUACGCAAUAGAUCAAAUGAAGGACUAUGUAACUUAAGAACAAAUUUUUACUCAUUUACAAUCAAACUAUUUACAACAUAAUCAACAAUAUAACAACCAUCAACUAUAAGAGUGGAAUAUCUAUAAAAAUUAUGUUUUUUUAACCUCUCUAGUCAAGUACGUAUUCUAUUGAGUCAUGCCAAUUGAAAGAAGGGAUAGCCAUAACAUACCUAAGUCGAUUCUCUUGAGAGAGAUUAUACUGUACUCAAAAUCUCACGUUAAUUAAGUUGUUCUGAAAUCCCGGGUCUUGAAGCGUUGAAGACGCUAUAAAAUGUCAAACAUUUGAAUUCCUUCAAAUUCUUGAAUUCCCACGUUAUAUAGACACACAUACAAAACAAUUGUUUGCUUAAACCAAGUAAAUAAAAAAAAACGUAAAUACUUACUCUUCAAAAUGUGUAGUGCCAAGUAUUUAAAAUAAUUUUGAUUCACUUCCAGCCACAGAGACCAUAUUAAGCAAUUUUCUCCACUAACUUUCCUUGUUCUUGCCACACUUUGGGAUUAGUAAUUACCCACCAAAUUGUCCAAAAGGUAUACUACUAGGAUUUCUACUCUAAUAAGCUAAAGCUGCUAUGCGAGAAUGCUUCUUCGUUUGACAAUGUAAUCCUACACACUUGGUCUUGCAAUUAUGGAUAUAUGAUCCUUUUUAUGUCCUUAAGACAUA